rnacentral:rRNA from 1 species
UACAGAGGGUGCAAGCGUUGCUCGGAAUCAUUGGGCGUAAAGGGCAGGUAGGUGGUCUGAUUUGUCUGGAGGUGAAAUCCUUGAGCUUAACUCAAGAAGUGCCCCGGAAACGGUCAGACUUACGAGUCUUGGAGAGGGAUGCGGAAUUCCAGGUGUAGCGGUGAAAUGCGUAGAUAUCUGGAGGAACACCGGUGGCGAAGGCGGCAUCCUGGACCGGCAUUGACGCUGAGGAGCGAAAGCCAGGGGAGCAAACGGG